GAGAUUCUAGGGUUGCCAACUCAUGAAACAAAACAAAAAAAAAUUCUGGCAGCUGGAUAGGGUCCAGAGAUGUCCGCAUCUUGUGUGUUGCAAGAUUCAAUCUGGAAACUUGACACCAUAGUCCAAGUAAGUAAAGAGUCGGUGUUGUGUUUUUAUACCCAACUAAGUCAUACUCAGAGUAGGCUAAUUGUAAUGAAUGGACUUACUAUGGCAUAAUUUGGUACAACAAGUUUAUUUCAAUUGGGGGAAUCUAGGUUGAAAUCCUUCCUCUGCCAGAGACUCACCGUGUAGCCUUGGGUAAAUCCAUUUGUCUUGUCUUCAGUUUCCAUGUAUAAAUUCUUACCCACAAUUUUCAUCUACAAAAUGGAAAUAAGGGUGGUGGUGGUGGUUUUUGUAAAGACUUGAAUAAGAAUCUCAAAGAACUUUAGGUAACAUUCAAUUCUAGUGCCUCGCUAGCACAGCCAACUUCUGCUUAUCCAAAUGGGCUUCCCCUUCAUGUCCUCUUCCAGCAGCCUCCCAUGCAUAUCCAAAAUCUGCUCCGGAGGAUUGGGGUACCCUCCAGAGCAGAUCUGGGGCAUAAGGAGCUCCGAGGGGGGAGAGAAAAAGGGGGAAUCCUGUCAUAUUUGCUAGCAUGAUACUGGAACUUACCCGUUGCCAGUGUGCUACACUACCAGCAGCACUGCAAACGAAAACAGGAGAUGAAAAUGCCCCUAACCAGCACAUCUAUUGUAGUUUGGUAAACAUGCUACCUUUUAAAAAAUGCUUAAUUAACUGUCCUUCCAAAGUCCCCCAGCUGCCAGUUCUGAAGUACAUGUUGUAACUUUAUGCUCAGACAUGUACAGCAAUGUUCCCAAAACUUGUCCAAAACAAACAGCUGCCAACAGUAAGUUUGUGUCGUGUGUGUUUUCUGUGUUUAUUCACUGCUGCUACUAUGAACUUACUUAGCACCAGAAGCAUAAUGGUCACUGUAAAAACACAAAGAAGCUAUUGCCACAGAGAUUAUGAAGAUGCUUCAUGUUGUUCACCAUCUUGGACAUUGGCAUGGAAGGGCAGGAGAGAUUGGAAUAGAAUAGAGGACUGUUCAGAGGAUGUUCGGAUGACAAAACAGCUGGAGAGGUCAGAGAUGAAGAGGAGUGAGGAAAACAGCUGCAGGAGAAGUUUGGAGAAUGAUGCAACAAGAAGUCGGCCUUUCAAGGGAGCCCAGCCCUGCAAGCAACAGGGGAGGCCCCAGUGGAUGAAGCAUCUCAUCCCCGUGAAGAUGCACAGAGGUAAACAGUUCACCACCAUGAAACAAACCUUAAUAAUUCAUACAGGAAGUGGCACAAUAUAA
rnacentral:lncRNA from 1 species